UACGGAGGGGGCAAGCGUUGUUCGGAGUCACUGGGCGUAAAGGGCGCGUAGGCGGUGCAUCAAGUCAGGCGUGAAAGCCCCGGGCUUAACCUGGGAAUUGCGCUUGAUACUGAUGCGCUAGAGAGCGGGAGAGGAUGGCGGAAUUCCCAGUGUAGAGGUGAAAUUCGUAGAUAUUGGGAAGAACACCGGUGGCGAAGGCGGCCAUCUGGACCGGUACUGACGCUGAGGUGCGAAAGCGUGGGGAGCAAACAGG
rnacentral:rRNA from 1 species